GAUGAACGCUGGCGGCGUGCCUAAUACAUGCAAGUCGAGCGAACGGACGAGAAGCUUGCUUCUCUGAUGUUAGCGGCGGACGGGUGAGUAACACGUGGAUAACCUACCUAUAAGACUGGGAUAACUUCGGGAAACCGUAGCUAAUACCGGAUAAUAUUUUGAACCGCAUGGUUCAAAAGUGAAAGACGGUCUUGCUGUCACUUAUAGAUGGAUCCGCGCUGCAUUAGCUAGUUGGUAAGGUAACGGCUUACCAAGGCAACGAUGCAUAGCCGACCUGAGGGGGUGAUCGGCCACACUGGAGCUGAGACACGGUCCAGACUCCUACGGGAGGCAGCAGUAGGGAAUCUGCCGCAAUGGGCGAGAGCCUGACGGAGCAGCGCCGCGUGAGUGAUGAAGGUCUUCGGAUCGUAAAACUCUGUUAUUAGGGAAGAACAUAUGUGUAAGUAGCUGUGCACAUAUUGACGGUACCUAAUCAGAAAGCCACGGCUAACUACGUG
rnacentral:rRNA from 1 species